UUGCGGCCUCUCCAGCCACAGUCACCGAUGUGGCUACUCAGAUGGAGGGCUCAGGGAAACACACCACCAACCAGGUCUUGGGCUGCAGGGUGUGCCUGAGUCUUCUGUCGGUAUCUGACAGCAGCAGCGAGGGGUAUGCCUGUGGGAGGUGUGCCCAGACUGAAUUGCUGCUCAGCCAGGUAGUGGAGCUUCGGGAGGAGGUGAGCAGGCUCAGGAGCAUCAGGGAGUCAGAGAGGGAAAUUGACUGGUGGAGGUGUACUCUACCCUCUCUGAGACAGACUCAGGAGCCUGCCACAGCACAAAUGUCUCCUGCUACGCAGAAGACAAAAGUUCCCUCAUCCCGCCAGGCAGUAGGAGGAGACCUAGGCCAAGGGGGGGAAUGGAGGCAGGUUCCUGUUCGGGGUGGUAGGCGAGCCCUGUCCCUGCCCACCUCACCUUCCCAUCUACCCUUAUGUAACAGGUACGAGGCUCUAGAACACCACAGUCAGAACAAUGAAGUAGACAAAGGCCCGUCCCAGUUGGAGAGGGUGCCUAAGGCAAGGCAACCUACCCCCCACAUUGCUACAUCAUCUGUCAAAAAAGAAAGAAGGGUUAUUGUCAUGGGGGACUCCCUUUUGAAAGGGACAGAGGGCCCAAUAUGCCGGCCAGACCCAACCCACAGGGAAGUCUGUUGCCUCCCUGGGGCUUGGGUAGAGACUUCACUAAGAAAGUCAAGCGUAUGGAAUGGCCCACCGACUACUACCCGCUACUGGUCUUUCAGGCUGGUAAUGACGAGGUAGCAACGAGAAGUCCAAGAGUGAUCAAAAGGGACUUUAGGGCUUUGGGGCGACUAUUUAAAGGAUCAGGGGCACAGGUUGUGUUUGCGUCUGUCCUUCCAAUAGGGGGGAUCGAUGCUGACAAGCAGACUCGUCACAUUAACACAUGGCUUCCAGACUGGUGCAACCGGCAGAAUUUUGGGUUUUCGAUCACGGGAAGGUCUAUGCGACACCGGGCCUGCUGGCACCAGAUGGGAUGCGCCUCUCUCAGAGAGGGGUGAGGAUUUUUGCUCAGGAGUUGGCAGGGCUAAUAGAUAGGGCUUUAAACUAGAGUUGAAGGGGGAAGGGGAUAAAAC
rnacentral:lncRNA from 1 species